rnacentral:lncRNA from 1 species
AUUUUGGAGGACCAAGUGAUAAUAUUCCAGAAAAUCAUAGCAAUAUGGGCUCUUUCAAUGACCAACUGAAGCUGAAAAAGCAUCCUGGCUGAGGGGAGGAAAUAUUAUUAGCCACUUCCGCUGUCUCACACUAAAACAAAGUACACAAGGAGGAAGUAGAGGUGAUGCAAGCAGUGAAUGAGAAAUCAGGAAAAUUUCCAUUAAACUCUGCCUAAGUCCUUUAGGGCUCUGUCUCUGUUUUGUUCCUCUUAAGGUUGUCACUUCUAUGCCUAAUGAUUAUCUCAUUGGUUCCAGGACAUUGUUACCAUUUACCUCCACUGGAUAUCUAUUUUCUUUCAAAAAGCACAAUCAACGUGCCUUUUCCCUGAUUUUCUCUGCCAAACAUAUCAGAUUGUGGGAGGUUUAUGGAUACACAGUACUUCACAGGCAACCUGAAAGGUAGGGAGACUGCGAGGAGAUACUGCAAAAAAAAAAGUGUGAUGGAGAAAGCAUGAGUGACUACUGGAAGACAGACCUGAGAUAAUUAUUGAAGAGAUGACAGUGAACAUUACCAUGAUAUGUUUCACCAGGUCCCAAUUUGGGCCCCGAGUCUGCUGGAGAAAAGAGAAAGGCUAAGAAGCAGCCUACCUUACCUGUGGCUCUGGGUCUGAGGAUGGCCAGGAGAACAGAGAGCAAAGCAGAGCCAAUGCAAGACCUCUGGCCCUGGAAGCCGAAGGGUCUCUCACAGGUCAACGCAGGAUCUACUCCAUCAUCAUCUUCACUAGCACACCCAGUUCGAUUGAGGAGCCUUGACGUGGGAUAUUGAUGGGAUAUUGAGAGAAAAGAGAAAUGGUGAAUCAAGCACUAAUCUCAAAGCUUCUGCACAGAACUACUUACAUGUCACUUCCUCCCAUGACUAUUCCUAAAUUCAGCCAAAAGGGGACACAUAAUCUCUUACGGGGGAGGGCACCACGGGGAGAGAAACCCGAAUAUUUGGUGAAUAGUAACACAAUCUACUUUGUUAUAGAAUCUGUCCUCAAUGGUCUUACAGUCUAAGAGCAUUACAUUUAGUUACGGUAGUCUUAAAUAUGAUACUAAAUGAAUUGAAUAGCCAGACAUCUGUGAAAGUAAAACUGUGAUAAUACAAAGUCAGUGUGCUUUUAAGUUUCAAUUGCUUAAAGUUAUUUGGAAGUAAGGAUCACAUGAGUUCAGAGCCCCAGGAUUCAAAAAUAACUCCGGAAUCUUUUAUCACUCCCCAAAGGAAAAGCAAUAAUAAGUAAGUUACCAGACAUUCAUGUAAUCUCUCUGAAACUGUAAGACUAACAAAGGAAAAUUUUCAAAAGGCAGAAAUACUUUAUUAUUUAUUUGCAAUAGAAAUUAUUCAGCCGGGCGCGGUGGCUCAUGCCUGUAAUCCCAGCACUUUGGGAGGCCGAGGCGAGUGGAUCACCUGAGGUCGGGAGUUCGAGACCAGCCUGACCAACAUGGAGAAACCCCGUCUCUACUAAAAAUACACAAUUAGCUGGGCAUGGUGGCACAUGCCUGCAAGCCCAGCUACUCAGGAGGCUAAGGCAGGAGCGACAGAGCGAGACUCCAUCUCAAAAAAAAAAGAAAGAAAGAAAGGAAAAAAAGAAAAGAAAAGAAACAAAGAAAUUUUUCAGUAAAUACAUACAACAGCAUUGAUGGCCUGGAGACAUACCACCUUCAGUUGUGAUCCUGGCAGAUGUGAUAGAUUCUACAAGGUUGGACAGGUUAAAUUCUUGCAAGGAAGUCCUUUCUGGAACACCCAAGAAUUACAGAAAGUUUAGCUAUCUUUCAGAUGAGAUUUCAUUCUCAGUUUUACUUGUUCCAUGACCCUUCCAAACUACACACGGGAUUCUUUUCAUUCAGUUGCCUUGGCCAGCAUUUUAUCACCAAUAGUCCUAUUUUAUGUAACUGAGUUUGCCUUGCCCUUUACUGCAUUUAGGUAAAUGGAAUGGUGUUUUUUAGACUUCCGAAACUAUUUGUAGACCUUUUCCUUCACAAGUUUGAAAUAGAUGUGAGGCAUUCAUUUUACUCAGACAACAUUGAGCCCAAUUCACUUGGGAAAAUGCAUCUUGAUGUGUAAUUCAUCAUCCAGAGCCUGUCCACUAUUCUGUUCCUCCCUGAGAGUAAAUUAGGCACUUUGAAAGGUGCAUUAAACUCUUCCUGGCUACUAGGUACCAUUUAGAACUGUGGGGCAAUAAUUUACUUCAUGGUACCUUGGUGACCUCAAAAAGUUUAUAUUGUUUUGAAAGUUCUUAAUUUUCUCCCACUAAAUAAUUUAUGCAUUCAGAGGUUGGGUGUGCUUAUGUUUCCAGAGAGACAACAGCUAUUGAAUAGCAUAAAUAAGAUAAAAUAGUCAUGCUAGUGUAGAAAUUAAAUGUUCACAAAUGUGUUAUCGAGUCUAUCCAUAGAAUAAAAGUGUAGCUUAUAAAACAAUUAUUGCUUUGGAUUUCAUGUUUUAAAUUUACAAGACUGUGUUACAUUUUGUUGUAAUUAGUAAUGCUUCAUAGCUACAAGGAUUACCAGAUCCAUAUCACUGCAUUUUUCCAUAGCACAAAACACAUUUAUCCAAAGUAAAAAUAGUGUGCUAAACAUACUGAAGUUUCUGACAGACACUUAUAUUUCUCUUCAUUCUUUCAUUCACAGCAGAGUUUCAUCCAUAUUAAAUAAAUUGGUUAAGUUUUGAUACCUCCUACUUUAAUCACUCAUCUUAUGUACUAAAAUGAACCAAAUUAAGUUUGAGCCAACAAAUAAAAGUGAUAUGCUUUGAGUUUUGCUGUCAUUUGGGAUAAUUAAUAAUAAAAAUAAACAUUGC